rnacentral:rRNA from 1 species
CUACGGGCCGCAGCAGUGAGGAAUAUUGCACAAUGGGGGAAACCCUGAUGCAGCAACGCCGCGUGGAGGAUGACGCAUUUCGGUGUGUAAACUCCUUUUAUCAGAGAAGAAGAUGACGGUAUCUGAUGAAUAAGCUCCGGCUAACUCCGUGCCAGCAGCCGCGGUAAUACGGAGGGAGCAAGCGUUAUUCGGAAUCACUGGGCGUAAAGGACGCGUAGGCGGGUUAGAAAGUCAGGUGUGAAAGCCAACAGCUCAACUGUUGAACAGCACUUGAAACUCCUAACCUAGAGUAUGGAAGGGGCAGAUGGAAUUAGUGGUGUAGGGGUAAAAUCCGUAGAUAUCACUAGGAAUACCGAAAGCGAAAGCGAUCUGCUGGGACAUUACUGACGCUGAGGCGUGAAAGCGUGGGGAGCAAACAGGAUUAGAUACCCUCGUAGUC